rnacentral:miRNA from 1 species
UUUUCCCGGCUCCGCCCAUUCC